UCUUCUGCUUCUCAUUCUGUGCACGCUCGCUUCGCCCACUCGCUGCACACUCUCUUCGUCGCCUCGCUCCGUCUUGUUCGAACGCCCUGUCCUCCGGCUCUGUACCAUGGCCAUCCGUUCCUCCAUUGGUGCUGUUGGUUGAGCUUUGUUGGAUUUCGCGUUGGCUCCUUCGUAGGAGCCUGGGUCAUUCUGUCCUUGCUGUCCAGGUUGUUCCAUCUUGCUGAUUUGGUGCAGAAUCUCCGUUUAGCUCAUCGCCGCGUCUUCAUUCUGCUUGUUGGGCCGCGUCAAGUGUGGCCUCUGGGCUGCUUGUGUCUCCUUGACCCAUUUAUUCGUGAUGCAAGGAAAUGGUGUCUGUGUUGUCCCCUCCUGCAGCCGUUAGAUCUAGCCCCUUGCCUGAAACAUGAUACCAUUAUACAGCAGUGCAAGUGUCUUGCCUGAUGGUCAUUAAAAAAUUCAUAUACACGAAUGGUUGGACUGAAUUUUUCAACAUAAUAAGUACUUGUUUUCUACAGU